rnacentral:rRNA from 1 species
UACGUAGGGUGCGAGCGUUAAUCGGAAUUACUGGGCGUAAAGCGUGCGCAGGCGGUUCGUUGUGUCUGAUGUGAAAGCCCCGGGCUUAACCUGGGAAUGGCAUUGGAAACUGGCGAGCUGGAGUGUGGCAGAGGGGGGUGGAAUUCCGCGUGUAGCAGUGAAAUGCGUAGAUAUCAGGAGGAAUACCGAUGGCGAAGGCAGGUCUCUGGGCCAAUACUGACGCUCAUGCACGAAAGCGUGGGGAGCAAACAGG